CCCSGGGUAUGCCUUAGUAGCGGCGAGUGAGCGGCAAAAGCUCAAAUUUGAAAUCUGGCGCCUUCGGUGUCCGAGUUGUAAUUUGAAGAUUGUAACCUUGGGGUUGGCUCUUGUCUAUGUUUCUUGGAACAGGACGUCACAGAGGGUGAGAAUCCCGUGCGAUGAGAUGCCCAAUUCUAUGUAAGGUGCUUUCGAAGAGUCGAGUUGUUUGGGAAUGCAGCUCUAAGUGGGUGGUAAAUUCCAUCUAAAGCUAAAUAUUGGCGAGAGACCGAUAGCGAACAAGUACAGUGAUGGAAAGAUGAAAAGAACUUUGAAAAGAGAGUGAAAAAGUACGUGAAAUUGUUGAAAGGGAAGGGUUUGAGAUCAGACUCGAUAUUUUGUGAGCCUUGCCUUCGUGGCGGGGUGACCCGCAGCUUAUCGGGCCAGCAUCGGUUUGGGCGGUAGGAUAAUGGCGUAGGAAUGUGACUUUACUUCGGUGAAGUGUUAUAGCCUGCGUUGAUGCUGCCUGCCUAGACCGAGGACUGCGAUUUUAUCAAGGAUGCUGGCAUAAUGAUCCCAAACCGCCCGUCUUGAAACACGGAC
rnacentral:rRNA from 1 species